GGCAAACAUAAACCAGUGCCUCUUAUAACACCACCGCCCCCAGCAAUUCUACAUUCCAUCUACGUAUACUAUUCCGUACGUAUACGCGUAUAAUUCACUGUGUACGUGCAGCUCAAGUUACUUUUAGCCUCAGAGCUCUUUCUUCUCCCAAAUUAACAAGAUUGAUUAUUUUCCAGUAUUAUUGAUUCCGAUGAGCUGCAACUUUUUCCCCUUUGCAAUUCAUCGGGAACGGCGUCGUUUGUGAAUCUAGGGGUUCAGUGUGGAGCAAAUUCUAGAUAAAUAUUCAGUUGGCUGAUGAAUUCUCAGCUGAUGCCGAUGACCAGAAGAACCAAUACUAGCUGUGCUAUUUGCGACAGCUCCAAUCUUGCCUCAAUCUGCCCUGUCUGCGUCAAUUACAGAUUGAAUGAGUACAGUACUAAUUUAAAGUCUCUGAAGAGCAAGAAGGAUGCCUUAUAUUCAAAAUUAAGCGAAGCCCUUCUUGCAAAGCGAAAGGCAGAUGAUCAGAAAAGUUGGUUGCUGCUUCAAAAAGAGAAACUUAUAAAAAUGAAGGAGAAGCUCCAUCUUCGACAACAAGAAGUUUUGCAAGGAAAGUCAAUGAUCGAGGCGAUGUCUCAUGAUUUAGAUGCCAAGUAUGAAUUGCUUGAGUCGGCCAUGAGUGUGCUGCAAAAGAAUCAAGUGGAACAACUAGAAAAGUUCUAUCCUAAUCUUAUUUGCACACAGAGUCUUGGACAUAUGGCAAUUACCUCUGAACUCCUACACAGACAGUCUGUCAUUGUGAAACAGAUAUGCAAGUUAUUCCCAUUACGUCGGCUGAAUGUUGAUGGUGAUAGAAAAGAUGGUUUCACUGGUCAAUAUGACACCAUUUGUAAUGCACGCUUACCGAGAGGACUUGAUCCACAUUCUGUUCCACGUGAUGAGCUUGCCGCCUCUUUGGGAUACAUGGUGCAGCUUCUGAAUCUUGUCGUUCAUCAUGUCUGUGCCCCUGCACUUCAUAACUCAGGAUUUGCGGGUUCAUGCUCUAGGAUAUGGCAACGAGAUUCUUAUUGGGACGCUCGUCCAUCUUCAAGAAGCGAAUAUCCUCUUUUCAUUCCUCGCCAAAAUUUUUGCUCCACUAGUGGGGAAACCUCAUGGUCUGAUAGAAGCUCAAGUAACUUUGGUGUUGCUUCGAUGGAAUCAGAUAGGAAACCUCAUUUGGAUUCUUCUCGUAGUAGCAGUCUCAACUACUCGUCUGCCUCUCCUCAUUCUAUUGAAACACACAAUGAUUUGCAGAAAGGAAUAUCCCUUCUCAAGAAAAGCGUGGCAUGUGCAACUGCAUACUGCUAUAAUUCAUUGUGUUUGGAAGUUCCUGCCGAGGCUUCUACGUUUGAAGCAUUUUCGAGGUUGUUGUCCAUCCUUUCUUCUUCCAAGCAAGUGCGGUCUUUUGUUUCCUCGAAAAUGGCUUCUUCAAGGUCAUCCAAGCAAGCCCAGCAGUUGAACAAGUCUGUAUGGAAGGUAGAUUCAGCUAUUUCAUCAAGCACUUUGGUGGAAAGUGCACAUGCCUUCCCUAUGAAGAGAAAUGUUUUUGACAGCCAUGUUCCGAGUUCUGCUUCCAGUUUCCUAUUCCCCACUGAAUUUUCUGAUAUUGGAAAGAAUGAAAACUUCAUUGAAGGAUGGGAUCUUGUUGAGCAUCCAACUUAUCCUCCUCCACCUUCACAAACUGAAGAUGUAGAGCACUGGACACGAGCGAUGUUUAUUGAUGCCACAAAGAAAUGAUUAGUUGUUCAAGAGGAUAGUGGAAUACUACAAUUAUAAGCUUUCUCGCCCCUCAUAAGCUCUAAAGAAGGCAAGAAGAGGUUCAGCGUUGCAGGGCACUUGACGGCAAAACUAGAAUAACUCCUCAAGUGUCUGCCUGGCAUAUGUAAAUAGACUCUCUCUGUAUAUGGAACUCUAUACAUGGUAAUUUCUGCUUGCCCGUAGCAUUAAAGCUAUGUAUAUUGACGGUUCCCAAUUGUUUUAAGUCGUAAAAUGUAGGAAAAGGUAGUUAUAGUUACUGUCUUGCUAUGUUACUACUACUAUAUGGUAUACUCAUGCGAGAACCCUUCCAACAUUAGGGAGCAAUGACGACCUGAUUUUAGUGAUGUACGGCGCCCUUGGCAAA